GAGUGGCGAACGGGUGAGUAACACGUGGGAAACCUACCUCUUAGCAGGGGAUAACAUUUGGAAACAGAUGCUAAUACCGUAUAACAAUGACAACCGCAUGGUUGUUAUUUAAAAGAUGGUUCUGCUAUCACUAAGAGAUGGUCCCGCGGUGCAUUAGCUAGUUGGUAAGGUAAUGGCUUACCAAGGCGAUGAUGCAUAGCCGAGUUGAGAGACUGAUCGGCCACAAUGGGACUGAGACACGGCCCAUACUCCUACGGGAGGCAGCAGUAGGGAAUCUUCCACAAUGGGCGAAAGCCUGAUGGAGCAACGCCGCGUGUGUGAUGAAGGGUUUCGGCUCGUAAAACACUGUUGUAAGAGAAGAAUGACAUUGAGAGUAACUGUUCAAUGUGUGACGGUAUCUUACCAGAAAGGAACGGCUAAAUACGUGCCAGCAGCCGCGGUAAUACGUAUGUUCCAAGCGUUAUCCGGAUUUAUUGGGCGUAAAGCGAGCGCAGACGGUUAUUUAAGUCUGAAGUGAAAGCCCUCAGCUCAACUGAGGAAUUGCUUUGGAAACUGGAUGACUUGAGUGCAGUAGAGGAAAGUGGAACUCCAUGUGUAGCGGUGAAAUGCGUAGAUAUAUGGAAGAACACCAGUGGCGAAGGCGGCUUUCUGGACUGUAACUGACGUUGAGGCUCGAAAGUGUGGGUAGCAAACAGGAUUAGAUACCCUGGUAGUCCACACCGUAAACGAUGAGUGCUAGGUGUUUGAGGGUCUCCGCCCUUAAGUGCCGCAGCUAACGCAUUAAGCACUCCGCCUGGGGAGUACGACCGCAAGGUUGAAACUCAAAGGAAUUGACGGGGACCCGCACAAGCGGUGGAGCAUGUGGUUUAAUUCGAAGCAACGCGAAGAACCUUACCAGGUCUUGACAUCCCUUGACAACUCCAGAGAUGGAGCGUUCCCUUCGGGGACAAGGUGACAGGUGGUGCAUGGUUGUCGUCAGCUCGUGUCGUGAGAUGUUGGGUUAAGUCCCGCAACGAGCGCAACCCUUAUUACUAGUUGCCAGCAUUCAGUUGGGCACUCUAGUGAGACUGCCGGUGACAAACCGGAGGAAGGUGGGGAUGACGUCAAAUCAUCAUGCCCCUUAUGACCUGGGCUACACACGUGCUACAAUGGCGUAUACAACGAGUUGCCAACCCGCGAGGGUGAGCUAAUCUCUUAAAGUACGUCUCAGUUCGGAUUGUAGGCUGCAACUCGCCUACAUGAAGUCGGAAUCGCUAGUAAUCGCGGAUCAGCACGCCGCGGUGAAUACGUUCCCGGGUCUUGUACACACCGCCCGUCACACCAUGAGAGUUUGUAACACCCAAAGCCGGUGGGGUAACCUU
rnacentral:rRNA from 1 species